CAGCGGUGCAACGAGCACAUAGCGAACUAUUCUUUCGCCUUUUACUAAAGAAUACCGUGUAUUCGUUGCAAUUCAAGCGGCGUACGACUUUUUGUAGGGUGUCUUCUCUUAUAGAGAGGCC
rnacentral:snRNA from 1 species